rnacentral:rRNA from 1 species
UAAUACUCCAUAGAUUAGAGACACUGGAAUGUUCUUUAGUCGAAAGUUCUGGCGCCUUAGGAUGGAUCUGCGGUCGAUUAGGUUGUUGUUGGGGUAACGGCCCAACAAGCCUGUAAUCGAUACGGGUUGUGGGAGCAAGAGCCCGGAGAUGGAAUCUGAGACACGAUUCCAGGCCCUACGGGGCGCAGCAGGCGCGAAAACUUUACAAUGCAGGAAACUGUGAUAAGGGAACUCCGAGUGCCCGUAUACGCGGGCUGUCCAGGUGUUUAAAAAUCAUCUGAAGAAAGGGCCGGGCAAGACCGGUGCCAGCCGCCGCGGUAAUACCGGCGGCUCGAGUGGUGGCCACUAUUAUUGGGCUUAAAGCGUCCGUAGCUGGACCGAUAAGUCUCUUGGGAAAUCCGCCGGCUCAACCGGCGGGCGUCUAAGGGAUACUGUUAGUCUAGGGACCGGGAGAGGUGAGAGGUACUCCGGGGGUAGGAGUGAAAUCCUGUAAUCCCCGGGGGACCACCGAUGGCGAAAUGCAUCUCACCAAAACGGCUCCGACAGUGAGGGACGAAAGCUGGGGGAGCGAACCGGAUUAAAUACCCGGGUAGUCCCAGCCGUAAACUAUGCGCGUUAGGUGU